UACGUAGGGUGCGAGCGUUAAUCGGAAUUACUGGGCGUAAAGCGUGCGCAGGCGGUUUUGUAAGCCAGGUGUGAAAUCCCCGGGCUCAACCUGGGAAUGGCAUUUGGGACUGCAAGGCUGGAGUGCGGCAGAGGAGACGUGGAAUUCCUGGUGUAGCAGUGAAAUGCGUAGAUAUCAGGAGGAACACCGGUGGCGAAGGCGGUUCUCUGGGCCU
rnacentral:rRNA from 1 species